AUAGCGUAUAUUAAAGUUGUUGCAGUUAAAAAGCUCGUAGUUGAACCUUGGGCCUGGCUGGCCGGUCCGCCUCACCGCGUGCACUGGUCCGGCCGGGCCUUUCCUCCUGGGGAGCCGCAUGCCCUUCACUGGGUGUGUCGGGGAACCAGGACUUUUACUUUGAAAAAAUUAGAGUGUUCAAAGCAGGCCUAUGCUCGAAUACAUUAGCAUGGAAUAAUAGAAUAGGACGUGUGGUUCUAUUUUGUUGGUUUCUAGGACCGCCGUAAUGAUUAAUAGGGAUAGUCGGGGGCAUCAGUAUUCAAUUGUCAGAGGUGAAAUUCUUGGAUUUAUUGAAGACUAACUACUG
rnacentral:rRNA from 1 species